GUGUCCUGAAUAUGAAGUUUAAUGAUUUCUGAGAAGAUGUUAAAAGUGGACAUUUGUUUCGUACAAUUCAAGCAUUUUAUACAUGAUGGAGUUCCAGAAUAGAGGCUUGCCUCAUACUCAUACUUCAAUUCGGCUUAUAUGGAACAAUCAUGAACCUUCGGCCUCCUUCAUAGAUGGUUUGAUUUCGGCUGAGAUACCUGAUCGUUUGGUUGAGCCCUGGGUUAUGCUCUUAUGGAUUAAUUUAUGGUUCACGGUCCAUGUGGAGACUACAAAGUAAAGUGUGCAUGUAUGAAAGAUGGAUUGUGUUCCAAAAGAUUUCCCAAAGAUUUUAAUGAGCAUACGUCGGUUGAUGAUAGAGGCUUUCCUAUAUAUCAUAGACGUGAUUUGGGUUACUAUGUGAGGAACAAGGGUACUGUUAAGCUGGAUAAUCGAUGGGUAGCUUUCAUAUAAUAGUUUUGGUAAUGUAAUUAUUAAUGUAUUUUUCUUCUUGCGAAGCGUACUGGCAUAUGUUUGCUUUCAAUAUACAUGGUCGUGAGCCUGCAGUGGAGAGAUUGGUUGUGCA